UGAGUCCAGUUGUCAAAGUGACACGUCAACGUGCGAAGCUACGUCUUCAUUGUUGUGGGUUUGUAAUGAAAUCCAAGAGGCAAACAGGUGAUUGUGCGCUGAUGAAGAAACGGCACGGCAUUGUACACCUUCCACCGCUACAAGACUUUCAUUCAGGUAUCCGUUGCAAACGGCGUGAAUCUUACAGCAGUUACCGUGAAUACUCCCGAAAUUUGGAAGAAACCAUUGAGCGGGCCACACUUGAAAGCAAUGCAGUAGUUUGAUCAUUGUCGAUAGUCAUCCGGUCAAUCACAGUUUUCACGAUUUCUCACGCUCGGUCGACUAGAACUGGACGUUUUACCUAGUCCACUCACAAUAGUUUUCCGGAACGUUGAACACAACAAUUGCAUUUCCGCUACAGUCUAUUUAACUUUUACGAAUUUUCAAGACCAACUGAUGUAGCAAAAAAUAAAUCAUCUCUGUAGCAGAAUAUUCAAAAAAGUCUUUGAUGCGCAAGAAAAUUUGCAAGUGGCAAGUGACAAGAACAGAAAGAUGUAACCGGAAAUCUGGGAAAUCCGUGAAUAAACGCGUUCUCUCCUAGAGAAAUUUCUUGAUCAACGUUCACGAAGCAAGAGCGUGAUAAGCUUCGAGAUCCUUUUAUUCCCGGAUGAGUAUAGCAAUGCUCUAGAAACCAUUCGUUCGCAUUAUCCAAACGUUCAUUUACCGCUUAAUUCCGUUUAUUAUCGUGACAGGUAAUCCAUUUCUAAACUGGAUGUUCGACGAGCCCACCAUGGAAGUUGUUUGUUGAGCCUCUUUUACAUACCAAAUCGAGAAACACUAGUUGGGUUGUUAAACCACCGUCUGUUACCUGUUGGGUACGUUUCUUUAUUAGGCUGUUAACGCUGCCUCUAUCCGAAUAUGGCGUGAGAUAAUAGAUGGAUUAAUGGAAAAUUUUAAGCAAGGCAAUUUUAGGAUGGCAAAAGAAAGAGUACUUAUUUGGGAAAAGGCAGGAAACAUUUGUAGAUACAACCUUGGGCCUUAAGGCAGUCGUGAAAAAUCAGGAUGGAUUCUGAGAAAAGCUUUUUGAUGCAUUCAAGGACUUUUUAAAAAUACACUAAGAUCGAGUGCGUUAUAAAUAAAUCCAUAUCAAACGGCAACAACACCCAACACCAGACAAAAUGGUUUUUGUUACGAAUGGUGUGAAUUUUUAAGACGGAUAAACGACAUGAAAAUGCACUGUGGCUUUAAUAGUUCAACAUGCUAAGGAUUAGUGGAAGACAACGUGACUUGUCUUAAAAUUAAUGACCCUAUCGUUUGCUAUCUUGAAAUCUUCUUUAUGCUUCACUUGGCUUUAUUGUGAGUACAGCAGUAUAUU
rnacentral:lncRNA from 1 species